CACCACGAAAAAUGUUCUAUUUUUUUUUUUUGCUUCAGUGACCCUAAAACAACAUUUCAGUUUGGUCAGAUAUUAUAACGUCUUCUAUUAAUUGAUCGAUUUUGGGAAUUUUUCGCUUUUUGUCAGAAUAGACUAAGCAAACCACCUAGCAGUCUAAGUUUGUUCACCAAAAUAGAAAAUUGUACUUGUAAGAUAGAUAUAUCAAAAAUAUAUUUGUCUCAGUUUGGCAUCGUUUAUUGCCAAACUUCUUUAUUGCAAAGGCAUCCUACUUAUUGCAAAGUUGUCUGUUACAAAAGCGGUCUUACUACCAUCUAUCAUGAUCUAUAAACUGGUUUAUAGAUCAUGUUAGUACUACUACUAGUAGUAGUAGUAGUGGUCGGCCUACGGCCGAAAGACACUUAGUAACAAGAACCGCUUUGGUUACAAGUUAUUUGGAAGACGGGUGGUUUAUACAGAACGGUUGUUAGAUGGCCAUUGCUUACAAAAUUGCUGGAUUCUGCACUGCCCUGCACUGCAAUUGGCUGGAUCAACAUCAUGUGUAUUUGAGCUGUCCUGCAUGUCAUAUUUUAGGGAACAAAACUUGCUAUCUACAAUUGAUUUUGUGAAGGUGGCGUUGGCAACAGUGUUACACCAGAGGGCGCCGCUGCAUCUAGCCGUAUACAAGUGAACAUUUUCUGACGCAGGACGUUAAAAGAAGGUAAAGAAGGUAGUGUUGUAAGAUUUUUAUAGAUUUUAAUCAAGAUUUUAAUCACAUGGGUUUCCUUAUGUUCCAGAAGUUCAUUUACGCAUUUUAAAAAUAUAUCUUUUCUUUUUUUCUGUAAUCACACUAAUUUAUGCCCGUGAGCUUCAAAAACGUAGAUAAACCACCAGGUCUGCCACGUUGAACCAACUGAAUCAUCAAAUGUCAUGUUCUGCACGUGAUUAAAUAGGUUUUCCUAGCGCUAAUUUAUAACAUACUACAUUAAUUAUCAAUUAAAACAGGUCAUUUUCCAUUGUGAUUUCUGUACUGCAUAAAUCUUUUGUUGCUGUACUGAUCCUCAAUCUGUUUCUUGUCUUAUCAUAGGCAAUCCUUAAAAUAGGAUGAACACCAGAAACAGCUAAUCAUGAUUUCCUUUCAAUACUGUUUGUUUUAGGGCUCUUUCUACUUGUAUGUGGACUAUUGGCGUCAAAAUUACUUGAUUGUUGAUGAUUCAAUUUUUGGAUAAAUUUUCCUAACUUGUUAUACAUUAGAUGUUUCUGGUAAAAUUUUUUAAUCUCUCAAUGGAUGCUCAAACAAGUUUCAGGAAAUUGCUUCACAUUACUGGAGCACUAUCUUGUAGAACCAGAUAUUUUAUAAAAAUUUAAUUGUACCAGAAAUCUUUAAUAGCAGAAUGAUCUUAGUAUUCAUUAAUAAUUUUGCUGUCAGAUGGAUGUGUGUUAACGAGUUGCCGUAGGACUUCUGCCUUUGCUUACAUUGAACACCUGAGGUUAUUUCCUGUUACCAAUUUUCUGCAUUUACGUAAUGUCUAGGAUGAGAGUUAAUUGUAUCCCCUUUGAUCUAUAUCCAAUUUCUUGUAACUUGAUCAAAGAUACAGCAAGUUGGUGAAGGUAAUAAGAAAAGAUAUAAUUUGUGUUAAUCAACUGUACGGAUCUUCAGUUAUGCCCAUCCGGCCUGAUUAUUCUAAAAAGUAAAUAGUAGAUCAAGUAUUUACGAAAUCGAGGCGAAACAUUUCUCUUAUUUUAUAAAUUCCCCCCCCCUCCCCCUUACUUGUUGACUUGGAUUCCACUCCGCAGAAACUACUUUUAAGAAAGUCGUCGAUAUUAGAUGUUGCAUCAUUCCGUUUCCAGUCUUAGUGGCGUUACUGGCAGCUGCUGUAAACAAGUGAAAUUUGUCCCGCUUGUACAAAAUUCCUGAGACAAUAAUAUUGACAAUGCAAAAUAAAUUCAUCUGUUGGGAACUGCUGGUAUUUUGUGAAUCCAUUUCAAUGCAACCGACGGGGAAAUUCCUUUUGCAACACCUAAAUAGUUAUUCGUGCAACAGUUAAUUUGCGGAUUUUUUUUUUUUUU